UUGGGGGUGGGAAAUGGACACAUACAUGCACCACUGAGUGUAGUAUGCGGGGGGGGGAAUAGACAUGUACUUGCACUGCUGCUGAGUGCCGUAUGGUGGGGGAGAUAGACACAAACGGGCACCACUGAGCACAGUAUGGUGAGGAUGGACAUGAACGGGCACCGCUGAGCGCAGUACGGGGGGAUGGACGCAAAUGGGCACCGCUGAGCGCAGUAUGGGGGCUGUGCAGUUGACCACAUCAGGAGCUGUGGCUCCAGUUAUUUAUUUUUACACUUUGUACUAAGCGGUUCUGUUUUCUACUUGUUUGUAGCCUUUUGUAUCGUGUCCGCGCUGAACUGCAUGUAUCGGGCCCUGCUUGCCUGCCCACGACCCUGGGCUGCUCCAGCAUGGCCCGGACCCAAGUGCCAAUUUCUCAAAGAAUGCCUUAAUAACCACAUGUGUUUGUACAGAGAUGUGCCACCUCUGUGCUGUAGGCAGAACCGAUGGGGCGAGCCUGGCUUCCAGCCACAGAACAACAGAAAGCCAGUCUCUGGCCAAGCCAAGGGCACAGCAACGAGCCAAAGGCCCAGUGAGAAACAGGGACCACUGCUAGCCAUGGGAGCGAGACCCCUGGCACCCGAUGCCCAUGGGGAGGGCUAGAGGGCAUUGCCUGCCUGGCAGCUGAGACAGACCCUGGGCUGAAAGACAGCAAAUGUGGCUGGCCGCUGGGGGCGGGGGGAGGCCCAGGCCCCCACACUUUGGCCAUCCACAGGCAGGUGGGGAAGGGGCAGCUCUGGUUUCAAUUGUGAAGGGAGAGGGGGCUGGACACUGCCAGGGUCAAUCUGAGCAAGGCACCCAGCUGGCUGCUCACUAGGCCCUGAAGCUGAAGCCUCACUCUGGCCUUUCUCCCUCACAAGGGCUGGGGCUAGGCAGGGUCCUGUCACACUGGGACAGGACAGGCCCCCUCCCCUGGACCCCGCAUUACCAUCUCCCACAACACAGACUGAGAGCAGCAGGCUUGACACAUUGCAGGUGGGUGCACACACACUCACCUCUGUGUGUUCAUCUGCUUAUGGGGGGGCACAUCAGUGUGAGUGUGCACAGGCCUGAGUAUGUGGGUGUGCCCACAUCUGUGUAUGCACACAUCUCUGUGCAUGCAGGUGCAUAAGCUUAUAGAGGGAGUGUAUAUUGUGGGUGUGCAUGUGCACAUCAGUGUGUGUGUAUAUGUGCAUGUAUGUGUGUUUACACUCAUCUACAGGUAUGUAUACGCACACAGCAGCUCAUAUACCUCUAUGUGUCUGUGUUUGCAUGUGCGCCCGCCCCUUAUCCAUGUGUCCGUGUGCAUGUGCAGCAGUGUCAAGCUGUGCUCAUCUCUGGCUCCCGUCCUCCUCCGCACCAGCAGGCCAGCUAAAUACUAGGUGUACCCACGCAGUGUAGGAAGGGUCAAAGUGAGGCUCUCCAUGAGGUUUCAUGGUUGAGGCUGUGCUGGUGGUUGGAAACAGUUGUAACCGCUUCUCCCCAGGCAGUACCUUAAACAAGUCCCAGGGGACCCCUGUGUUUUAGGGCCUGGGGUGGGGGCUCAGUAGGAGGCCCCGCCUCAUGAGUGCUGACCCCAAUGCCCUAGCAUGGCACUAGGGAACACUGUUGCAGAGAACAGUAGGGGCAUUCGCCCUUCCCAGUCAAUGCCAACCCCCAGUGCCCAAGCAGAGUGCUGGGGUCCCUGUACUGCUGGAAUCUAUGCCUCAGACCAUCUCCUGAUUAAGAUACCAGAGGAUAAAUUACCAGGGUAAAUCAGAAAUUACACGUUUCUGCCUUUACUCCUGGGGGGAUUCUGCACCAAAAAAUUCAAAAUUCUGCAUAUUUUAUUUGUCAAAAUGAUGCAAUAUAAUCACACCAGUUUCAAUUGUUUUGGUAAUUUAUUUAAACUACAAUACAGAAAAAAGUCACAGUAAGUAUUCAGCAUUUCCUAAACAUAUGAAAGUGAAAUUACAAACACUUGGUAACUAAUACCCUGCCUUCCAGUUAUAAUCCUGGAUUUUCAUUUAAAUUACAUUACAGAACACGAAACAGCA